UGGGGAAUCUUGCACAAUGGGGGAAACCCUGAUGCAGCGACGCCGCGUGAGCGAUGAAGGUUUUCGAAUCGUAAAGCUCUGUCCUAUGGGAAGAUAAUGACGGUACCAUGGGAGGAAGCCCCGGCUAACUACGUGCCAGCAGCCGCGGUAAUACGUAGGGGGCGAGCGUUGUCCGGAAUUACUGGGCGUAAAGGGUUCGCAGGCGGCAUGGCAAGUCCGAUGUAAAAGGCGAAGGCUCAACCUUCGUAAGCAUCGGAAACUGUCAAGCUUGAGUGAAGGAGAGGCAAGUGGAAUUCCUAGUGUAGCGGUGGAAUGCGUAGAUAUUAGGAGGAAUACCGGUGGCGAAGGCAACUUGCUGGACUUCAACUGACGCUGAGGAACGAAAGCGUGGGUAGCAAACAGG
rnacentral:rRNA from 1 species